UAAGCCCUGAGUGGAACUACAAAGACCAGAAAGUGAAUCAUUGUUGGAAGAGUCUUGACAUUCUUACCAAACAAGAAGAAAAGAAGAAGCCUGAUAGAACUUAAUUUUUUCCUGUUGGUUAGAAUAUUACAACAGAGAUAGUAAGUGACAAUCCACAUUAAAUUUUAAAAUCUAUUAUAAUAUUAAGCAUCAAAGAAAGGAGUUGUUCAUCAGAUACCUUUUGUCUUUAUGAAAUUAGCACUGGUACUGUUUGGCAGUGAUGGGAAAUUUCCUUAAAAUAUCCUCCUUUUGAAUGGCUGUUCCUAUCCAUUAAGACGCAACCUGAAAGAGAAAACUGACCCUAAGAAUUACGACCUUCUGUGCCUAUGUGCUGUUCCUUUUGAGUUCCAAGAUAUACUUUUCUCAAAGAUAUCAUUUUUCUCUCCAUAAGUUUAGAUUUGUUUUAAAAUAUCUCAACUUGUUAUAAACAAUCCAAGAUGACUCUGAGAUUUGUGUUAAGGGCAGUGUCCGGAAUUUUGGUGCCCAGGUUUUUAGACCUAGCCAAUGCUAGAUGCUUUUGUUUGUUUGUCAGAAUCAUUGCAAACCCACAGAACGUUCUCAGACCAUCCGUGAACCCUAUGAUGAUUCAAAGUACAUAAAUGUGACACAUAUUUAGGACGAAACAGUUCCAUUCUUUCUAUUUAUAUCCAAACCCAUUUUACGAAGAUGGUUUUGUGGUACGUUACAACGUCUCAUUAACUUCACUCCACAGAUAGAGAAAAGGAGGAAGGAAUUGUCUGUGUGUUUUUUACUGUCUUUGGGUUGAUGUAAUGGUUUGCAAUUUGUCUCACAGAAUCCUAUAGCAAUUUAAAAUGGAGUGUAGUCUCUCAGACUCUGUGAACAAGUACAAGCUGUGGUUAAUGAAACUUCCUUCAAGGCACCACACCCCUCUAAGGAAUGCUCCACUUCUGACCGACUCCUUUCACAUCGGCAACUGUUGCCACGGUUCUUGUCUGAGACCCCAGAGAGCUGUUCUGAAUUGUCUCUUGGAUUCAUCCGGGCACCCUUCCCUUACUGUUGGCUUCUAGUAGUCAUGGAAAUUACAAGUUGUCCUGUUUAGUGUGGCAGCUGGAUUAUACAUCCCCAUAUGUGGUCAUAUGACACAGUGACACCAGUCUGGACCAUGUGACUACUUGCCCAGUGGAAUGUACACAGAAGUAGAGUAUACUGUAACCAAGCAGAAGCUUUGAGAACCCUAGUGUCCUUCAGCCAUUUCUCCCUCCCUCUGCAAUGCCAAAGUCACACCCCCACAGGAACUGCUCCUUUCAGCCUGGCUCCUGGAAUGAGAAGAUAGAUAGAGAGGAGCUGCAGCUGAUCCACAGAUGACUCGUAACACGAACAAGAAAUAAAUCUUUAUUAGUGUAAGUCA
rnacentral:lncRNA from 1 species